AUUGAACGCUGGCGGCAGGCCUAACACAUGCAAGUCGAGCGGAUGACGGGAGCUUGCUCCUUGAUUCAGCGGCGGACGGGUGAGUAAUGCCUAGGAAUCUGCCUGGUAGUGGGGGACAACGUUUCGAAAGGAACGCUAAUACCGCAUACGUCCUACGGGAGAAAGCAGGGGACCUUCGGGCCUUGCGCUAUCAGACGAGCCUAGGUCGGAUUAGCUAGUUGGUGAGGUAAUGGCUCACCAAGGCGACGAUCCGUAACUGGUCUGAGAGGAUGAUCAGUCACACUGGAACUGAGACACGGUCCAGACUCCUACGGGAGGCAGCAGUGGGGAAUAUUGGACAAUGGGCGAAAGCCUGAUCCAGCCAUGCCGCGUGUGUGAAGAAGGUCUUCGGAUUGUAAAGCACUUUAAGUUGGGAGGAAGGGCAGUAAGCGAAUACCUUGCUGUUUUGACGUUACCGACAGAAUAAGCACCGGCUAACUCUGUGCCAGCCGCCGCGGUAAUAC
rnacentral:rRNA from 1 species